rnacentral:rRNA from 1 species
AGAACGAACGCUGGCGGCAUGCCUAAUACAUGCAAGUCGAACGAACUCUUCGGAGUUAGUGGCGCACGGGUGCGUAACGCGUGGGAAUCUGCCCCUUGGUUCGGAAUAACAGUUGGAAACGACUGCUAAUACCGGAUGAUGACGAAAGUCCAAAGAUUUAUCGCCAAGGGAUGAGCCCGCGUAGGAUUAGCUAGUUGGUGAGGUAAAGGCUCACCAAGGCAACGACCCUUAGCUGGUCUGAGAGGAUGAUCAGCCACACUGGGACUGAGACACGGCCCAGACUCCUACGGGAGGCAGCAGUAGGGAAUAGUUGGACAAGUGGGCGAAAGGCCUAGGAUCCAGCAAUGCCGCGUAGAGUGAUGAAGGCCGUUAGGUAGUAAAGCUACUUUACCGAG